rnacentral:rRNA from 1 species
AUUGAACGCUGGCGGCAGGCCUAACACAUGCAAGUCGAACGAGUGGCGGACGGGUGAGUAAUGUCUGGGACACUGCCUGAUGGAGGGGGAUAACUACUGGCAACGGUAGCUAAUACCGCAUACCAUCGGAUGUGCCCCGAUGGGAUUAGCUAGUAGGUGGGGUAAAGGCUCACCUAGGCGACGAUCCCUAGCUGGUCUGAGAGGAUGACAAGCAACACUGGAACUGAGAAACGGUCCAGACUCCAACGGGAGGCAGCAGUGGGGAAUAUUGCACAAUGGGCGAAAGCCUGAUGCAGCCAUGCCGCGUGGAUGAAGAAGGCCUUCGGGUGGUAAAGUACUUUCAGCGGGGAGGCGUUACCCGCAGAAGAAGCACCGGCUAACUCCGUGCCAGCAGCCGCGGUAAUUC